CUCAGCCGAACGGCGAUGCCGAUGGCAGAAACGGUUAAUAUUCCGUUACUACCUUCAGGAGUGACGUGGAGACGCAGUAGUGACAGUGCCGCCAUCUGACGGAAUAGAUGGUUGAAGGGUGUAGGAGUCGAUCAUGGCAGGCAAAUCCACCAUGAGAUCCGAACCUGAGAGUAUGCCGCGUCCUUCGGGACAAGGCAAUAGUGCGCGUAAGCAUGCUGCCGAGAAAAUCCGCUAAACUUAAUCCUGCAGGUACCCGUACCGCAAACGGACACACGUAGUCGGGAUGAAUAUUCUAAGGCGCUUGAGUGAUUCACGGUUAAGGAACUAGGCAAACUGACCCUGUAACUUCGGGAUAAAGGGUCCCUACCCUUUUAUGGGAGGGCGCAGAGAAUCGGUCCAGGCAACUGUUUAACAAAAACACAGGGCUGUGCAAACUCGAAAGAUGACGUAUACAGCCUGACACCUGCCCGGUGCCGGAAGGUUAAGAGGAGAUGUCACUCGCAAGAGGAAGCAUUGAAUUGAAGCCCCGGUAAACGGCGGCCGUAACUAUAAC
rnacentral:rRNA from 1 species